rnacentral:sRNA from 1 species
CCGUCGCUGACCCUGUUAUCCAUUUGACACAUGGAAAUACCCAAGGAUGUUCUGUUUCUCUUGAAAGAGCAACUCCCCGCUUUAGUGUGUGGCUUAUUUGGAUUCUUGGUUGGCUGUGGUAGUGCUGCUGUCAUCUCAUCUCCGGCAGAUGCUGGUGCCAGUCAUCACAGGACUUGGAAGCUGAGUCAGGAGGAAGGGAACAUGCUCCUCCAAGUCUGGACUAACUCCUGAUAAAAGGGAAUUCAGAAGGAAGGAGUCACUUGGUUUUCUCUCUUUAUUUAUGUAACCCUCACAGUGCGAGGCUGCAAGCUGGGACUGGGGGUACAGAGGUGCAAAAGACAGAUGUGCUGCCCACUUUCAUGAGGCUUAGAGCCUGGUGCAGUUGUCUGUUGUGGGAAUUACAAAAUAGUAGGCAACUGCUCACGGCUGAUGUAUUUUAUUUGGUCCAUAUGGAAUCCUAAAAUUUUGUCGUUGUUAGUUCCCAGUGUUUAAAAAUUGGGAUAGUUUAUCUAAAACUCCAGAUUUCUGGCUUCUCUUAACAAAUCAGAAGACUUGGCAACUCAAGGUCCAACGUUAGGCUGACAGCAAUUUGUCUUCGCUGAGUAGUGAUGUUCAUCACAAACCACACCUCUCCCUGUGACCUCCCUAACAGAGAGUGGUGUCAGGUCCCAUUUAUCAUCACACAUUUUUUUUUAUUGUGGCGCCAAGGGGAAAGAUCCCUAAAUAAAUUAUAUCUGCAAAGACUCUGUUUUCCAAAUAAGACGUUUCUAUCAAAAUGUACCUUUUACACAUCCUACUUGGCUCUUUUAUAUAAUGAUAUGGCUCCCAAAGGCAUUUGUUUGUGACAUGCAGAUGUUUCCUUUCCUGUAAAAAGGCAGAGCCUGGGAGGUAGGAGUGAUUGCUGUUCAGGGGAAGGUGAAUACGAUGUCUCUUCUUUGUAAGCAGGAUUGUCAUGAUCUUGAAAUGAUACUGGGGAGAUUUUACAGUUGAAUCAGUUUUUUUUAGAAAAAAAACUUUGUGACAAAGUGCAGGUAAAAGAAAUGUGACCUGAUUAUGAAGUCCUUAAUUUAAAUGUUAUAUUCAAGCAGCUGCUAGAACAGUGACUAGAACAGUCCCUGGCACAUAGUAGAUUACUGAUAAAUAUUUGUCGAAUGAAUGAUUUGAAAAUGAAAUUUUAUGACACCAACUUCUUUUUUAAAGAAAGUAUAACAGGAAAAGGAAUCUUUGAAAACACCUUCGCCUCUGAGUUUUCUCUGGCUUCCUCCUUCUUUCUUUUCCCCCACACUCCACCCUCAUAUACAUGUUAGAUAAAAUAUGUUAAAGAAAACUUUUCAUUCUUACAUAGUCAAAGAAGGGAGCCAGCACUGGUUAUGUUCAUGUAAGGCUUUAAAGAGUUUAUCCAUGUUCUCCAACCUGGAUCAGUGUUGUUGUCCUUGCCUACAAUAAUCUUCCUCUCUCUUUUGUCCAAAUUAAGUCCCAAUCCUCCUGGUUAAGUUCCAAUUCACAAGGACCUCCAUGAAUCCGUCCUGAUCAUUUCUGUCUCCAGGGCCCCUAUGCAUAGUAAUAAUAUAACUAAUAACAAAUGUGAUAAUAACAGUAACAUUAACACUAUAAAAUAACACUUCUUGAGAUUUUAUUGUGUACCAGGUCCUGUGUGAAAUACUUUACAUGCAUUAUUUCAUUUGGUCCUGACACAAAUCCAACUAAGUAGGGACUUUUAUGAUCAUUUCCAUUUUCCAGAUGCAGAAACUGAGUGUCAGAGAGGAAAUUACUUGCUAAAGGUUACACAGCUAGCCAGUGGCAGGCUCCAUGCUUGAACCCAGCCCUGCCCGACUACACAGCCUCUGCCCUCGUGUAUUUACCAUACUGCCUCCCUGAUUUCUGACUGGUUCCUGGAGCACUUAAAGUGGAGCAACUACUUCACACUCAGCAUGUGCUGCCUUUUAUUGCUACGAACACAUCUUUUUAGGUUCAGGCCCUGUUUAUUCAAAUAAAUUAUCAGGGCCUUGAGGGCAAGAAAUGAUUUUAUAUCAGCUUGCCUCACUAGGACUUAGCACAAUGCUCUCAAAUAAUAGGAGCCUAGUUAACUGCUCCUUUAUUUCCACAGUUCUUUAAUCAAACUUCAAAGGCAGCAUUUAUUACAUUUACAAGUCUUAUUGUUUGCAUCUGUCCCCACUUCCAGCCUGGAAACAUCAGGUAUCCCUUAUCUGUGACUCAGCACUGAGCACGUGGGAGCUGCUCAAUAAAUACUGCUGAGGAAUUGAGUUAAUGGUUCUCGUCAAUACUGAUGAUUAACCAGGAUUAACGUUUUCUCUUUUAAAUUUCAUUUUCCAUCUCUGCGUGCCGUCUUUUUAUUGUUCUGCAUUUACUCAAGUUACUGUAUUAGACAGUGAACUUAAACAUUCAACUUGAAAAAAAUUCAGCAACGCAAAUAAAUAAAUAAAUGUAAUCCGACAUAUUUAUCCCUUCUAAUUUUGUUGUAGCUUUCCCUGGACCUCUAUCACACUGAAGAUGAUAUUUACAAACUGUCACUGGUGCUGGAGCCUAGAAAUCCUAAAUCGCAGCCUACCUCCCCUACGACGCCCAACAAGCCUGUGGUGCCCCUGGAGUGGGCAUUAGGGGUGAUGCCAAAGCCAGACCCCACGGUCAUCAACAAGCACAUAAGGAAAUUAGUGGAGGUAAGUGGUUGAGGGAGAAUAAAGAGAGGGCACUAGAAGACCCUUUCUCUUUCCAGAAUAUUCCGCGAUUGUCCAGGAAUCUGAUGGAACCCAUGCAAACAACCCUCUGGCAGCUAGGAACAAUUUAGCAGGCACUUAGUGCUACCUGGCAUUGGACCCUGGGGAGAGUUGAUCAGAAAGGCCCUCUUCCCUUUGUUGUCUCUCUUGCCCAGAUACUCUCAGCUACUUCCAGCUCCUCUCUUUCCCAGGCAUUUGCCACCUCUGUCAUUGUCAACAGCUCAAGGGAUUGGGGAUUAGAAUCACUCAUGAAAAACCCACAUAGGUCCUACUAAGAAUGCCCAAUAAAUUGAUUACCCAAGGGCAGGAAAGAAAUCCUGUAAGUUGGAUAGUUUCUCCUUUUGUAUAGUUUUGGAAUUUUAUGACACAGCAGCCCAAUGUUAUUGAGAUUAGAAAAAUCACCUAAUGUAGGACAAGGCUCUGUCAGAGUUUUCCGUGUAGAAAAAAGAGUAGGGCCGGGCACGGUGGCUCACGCCUGUAAUCCCAGCACUUUGGGAGGCCGAGGCGGGCGGAUCACGAGGUCAGGAGAACGAGACCAUCCUGGCUAACACGGUGAAAACCCGUCUCUACUAAAAAUACAAAAAAUUAGCCGGGCGCGAUGGCGGGUGCCUGUAGUCUCAGCUACUCAGGAGGCUGAGGCAGGAGAAUGGCGUGAACCCUGGAAGCAGAGCUUGCAGUGAGGUGAGAUCGCGCCCCUGCACUCCAGCCUGGGUGACAGAGUGAGACUCCGUCUGGAAAAAAAAAAAAAAAAAAAAAAAAAAAAAGAAAAGAAAAGAAAAAAGAGUAGAAGUGCCGAUGCGGGGAACAUGGAAACAUCUCGGGUACAGGAAACUGUGGUCCUGAAUUAAAUGUCUACUUUAAUGGAUUGGUAGGUACAUCUGCUGGUGCAACAGAAUUGAGUCUUUGGGAUAGAAUGUGCUUUUUGCUGGGAGAAGAUAUUU